rnacentral:snRNA from 1 species
GGAUGUGAGGGCGAUCUGGCUGCGACAUCUGUCACCCCAUUGAUCGCCAGGGUUGAUUCGGCUGAUCUGGCUGGCUAGGCGGGUGUCCCCUUCCUCCCUCACCGCUCCAUGUGCGUCCCUCCCGAAGCUGCGCGCUCGGUCGAAGAGGACGACCAUCCCCGAUAAAGGAGGACCAGUCUUCAGUCAAGGGUAUACGAGUAGCUGCGCUCCCCUGCUAGAACCUCCAAACAAGCUCUCAAGGAAGGAAUUAGAAAUAAGAAGGAAAUCCAUCAAGAACCAAGGAAAUACUUUUUCCCUGUUUGUCUU